rnacentral:rRNA from 1 species
UACGAAGGGGGCUAGCGUUGCUCGGAAUCACUGGGCGUAAAGCGCACGUAGGCGGAUUGUUAAGUCAGGGGUGAAAUCCUGGAGCUCAACUCCAGAACUGCCUUUGAUACUGGGAAGCUUCGAGUCCGGAAGAGGUGAGUGGAACUGCGAGUGUAGAGGUGAAAUUCGUAGAUAUUCGCAAGAACACCAGUGGCGAAGGCGGCUCACUGGUCCGGUACUGACGCUGAGGUGCGAAAGCGUGGGGAGCAAACAGG